CCCACUCCUUGUCACCUCUACCUUCAUCCCAGUGGUUCCCUCUCCAGUUCUGCUCUUCACCUGAAACCUCCUCAGAACUCCUUACCAUAUGAAUUCUGAUUUUUCAUCACAGUACUCAACACGCAUCAUGAGGAGCACCCAUCCUCCAAGAAGUAAUAUCUCCAAGAGGACAACUGGGAAACUUGCUCCAAAGUCCCAUUGCCAGACGCUGGCCAAAAUGCCUAGGUUCAAAUCCUAGGAAUUAAUCUCUGAACAUCAAUUUCAAUUCAAAGUGAGGCCAAUAUAAAUGAAGAUUACUGAGCAAGAAAAUGUUGUGGUCAUUAGCAGCGAUGACAUACUGUAUCUGUGUCUUUUUGUUUGGGUAAUUACACCCUGCCGCCAGCCUACAAACCUUACGUUAUCCCAACCUGACCUAAAACAAAUUGUGUGGAUACAGCUAUCACAGUCUGUUAGAGUGACAGUACUACAAUCUUUCCAUGGAAACGGCAUCCUCUUGAAAGUGGUUUAUUUCACUGAACUUAAACUACAUAUUCUGAAAAGCAUAAUGUAUCAAGGGCUGCAUCUUCUGGAGCUGAGGUAUCAUUUUUAUGAGAAUAAACAGUGCCACCAAGAGGCUACAUUUGGUUUAUCGUUGAUAAGGUUUAUUCCUUCACUUAUCUUGAAAUGCUGAAAUCAGACGUUUAGAAAAUUGUCAUU